rnacentral:rRNA from 1 species
UACGUAGGGUGCAAGCGUUUAAUCGGAAUUACUGGGCGUAAAGCGUGCGCAGGCGGUGAUGUAAGACAGAUGUAAAAUCCCCGGGCUCAACCUGGGAACUGCAUUUGUGACUGCAUCGCUGGAGUGGCGGCAGAGGGGGAUGGAAUUCCGCGUGUAGCAGUGAAAUGCGUAGAUAUGCGGAGGAACACCGAUGGCGAAGGCAAUCCCCUGGGCCUGCACUGACGCUGAGGUGCGAAAGCGUGGGGAGCAAACAGG